UUCUAAUUCACCUCUCUAAACGGGUUUCUAUCUCUACCACUUGCACAAGAAUAAGCAUCCAACUAAUGUCGUCUGAAUUUGAAAUAACAACCCUCAGCAUCAGAUGCAUCAUCUCUAAUUUUAUGAAAUUAUUGAUUCCAAUUCCAUCUCACAAAACCACAUCUAUAAAUAUGGAGUCGGAGAUGGAGCUAUAGAAUUGAGGCCAGGAACCUAUUCACAGCUUCUAAAUACACAAGCUUAGUUUUAGGGUACAAAAUACCUAAUGGCUUCACUCAAGCCUGAAAAACCUGCGGCUGCAACACCUCUCAAGAAAGAGCCUGCCAAAUCUGCACCCAAAGCUCCGGCCUCCAAUCCCGCCCCUAAAAAAGCUGAGCAGAAGCCUCGCGAGCCUAAGAAGAAGGGAACAGCUAGCAAGGCAGCAGCAGCAAAAUGAAGAGAAUAAACAUCUACUAAUAUAAUGUGCCACUCGCUUCCUACUCUCUACUUUUAGGCUUCGCCUAAUAAUUAAAUAAAAUACAUAUUUUCAUUACA